UAACAUAACACAGUAAAGUCUGU
rnacentral:snRNA from 1 species